GAGUUAUAAAGGAUUGGGCUGGUCUGCAGUCACAGGGCCAGUACUAGAUUGGUUCACAUGACUACACUCCAAAAAUCGGAGUCUGGCCCUAAUCCACAGUAUUUCACCGAGAGGAGAAAAGUUUAGAACUUCAGUGUCCUCAUUUCUUUCAGUAUUUUUUUCUGGCAUCUAGGGUAAAUGCAUCUAAGUUACUCUCAAAAGUAAAUCCUCUUUCUCGCUCCUCUCUUUAUUACACAUGAUGAAACAGUGGCUCACAGAGUAAGGAUUCCAAAUCAACAAUGCUUAGGAACUUGUUGGAAAAAGACAUCCUCAGGUCUCACCCCAAAUUUAUCAUUUCAGGGACUCCGGGGGUGGGGCCCAGCCAUCUCUGUUUUAGGACCCCUGACCUAAUAUCAUGCUAGAGUUUAGUAGCCACUCACACAUCCAAUCUCCCAGAGGAAGUAACGUGUUAAUUAAUGCCCAGCGAGACUCAUGGCCCUUCAUAGGUUGAGGAAAAACUGAUUUGGAGAGAACAUUCCAGUGUCUCCUCGUAUUUCCUACCCUGUGAUAAAUUUCACGAGAGUCUUUUGGGAAGAUGUGGUCUCCCAGCCAGGCAUUCUGCUUUCUCUGCCGUGGCCUGGCAUUGAACUCUUCUUCCACCAAACUCUACACCGUGUAAGUCAAAAGAGGAAUAAAGUGACACCAAAGCAAUGGAGAUCUUUAUUUGAAAUGUUAUACCAAGAAAACAUCGACAGGGACAGAAGGUUGAAUUCAGGGGGAAUGAGUGGUUUAGAGCCAAUAAAAACAACUGAUGUGUGGUAGGCAGAGGCAGUUAUAGAAAGAAGGGAAACACUGGAUCCUGUGGAAAGAACUACAGAACCAUGGAGAAGUAGUUUGUAAACUGAGAAAGUGAGUCCCCAACAGCACAAGCCUACUUUCCUCCUUAAUUAGACUGGAAUUGUCCAUUAGUGGGACCCACCUACAAUUAAAACUCAACAGAACAGAGUAAACUACUGGAUACACAAGCUUCACAACAAGUUAAGGCUGUUUUAAGUGCGUUCAUGGUUUUUAGAUGUUGAUUAGCUUGCUGCUACUGCUGGUGCUAAGAAUCACCGAGGCUGGGAUGUGAACCCCCAGUUUGGGAAGGGGAAGAGGUUUUUUCCCCGAAGCGCUGAGAUGCAUGCAGCAAGAUGUACCGCCUUUGCUGUCAUUUAAGUUGGCACUGUUAAUGGAGCGGGUCCUUGAAACCCGUAGGGCUGGGUACUGACAGGAGCAUCAGCUUAGGACAGUGUGGUGGACAAGGCGGUGAGUGCUGGUGGUGGAAGAGGGGACACAAGCUUCCUGAAUUUUAGUUCUGGCUCUGUUCCGUCCCACUCAGAUGUUCUUCAUUAUUUCAAAGUAAAAUUUUAGGCUACAUAAAUAAAUAAUGCAAAAAAAUGUAGACUGACUAAAUAAAUAAUGCAGUUACAGUAGACAGUAAUUUCAGUCAUAACGUACUACUUAGCCCAGUGCAGCUUUUUUUACUUAUGGCAUGACAGGUUACUUAUGUUGUUUAUAUUGCAGCAAAUGAGGCUCUGCCUUGACUGGAGGAUGCUCGAGUAGGCAGUGAUGCCAUUACCAGUACAGUAAAAACACAAGUGGUGAAACUUGAAUAUCCCAUCUUGUGAAGAGGCUGCUAUGUUAUUAUGCUACUAUCUUCUCAUUACUAGAAUUACACAUAUGCAUUUUCAGGAGCACAUAGUAAAUAUUGACCUUCCAUUUUAAAUAUUUGGGUAGCUAAGGAUCUCCACCAUGAGCAGAGAGGUUAAGUAUAAUGCAUUACAAAAAAUCCUGAUAUACCCCUGAUGAAUGGCUUUUUAAAUUAUCAUGUAUAUCAUCUCCAGUAAGUUGUAGCUUUUGAAAUUACACCGUAGUCUCAUAAAAUUUUCACUUUAUGUUAGAACAUCUGAGUUCUAAUACAAAGUGCGGUCAUGGCUUCCAGAGAUGUCGUAAUUCAUCAAACCUUCGCUCUGCAUCCCAUCUGCACAUCCUUUCCAAGUUGUACACUGUGAUUUUUUAGACUGCCAAGUAUGAUCUAGCAAAUCUGAGAACUCGGGUGGGGUACUUAGCAAUUUUUUAGAUAUUCCAAUAAAAUAAUAAUCUGAUGUUUAAGGAAACUGGAUAAUAAUUUUCUAUUGAUAUUUUAUGGUAUUUUGGAACCUUUUAAUAUAUACCAGAAUUCAUGGAGAAAUGAAAUACAUUAUGUGUCAAGAUGGUCUCAUAUAUUGAGUGAUUUUAGAGGACAGGGGAUAAGAGCAAGAAUACUGAGGAAACAUAAGACAGAAUUUCAAAGGCGGUAAGAAGUUGGAUGGGAGAGUAAUUGAGAAUGAAUUGGUGGAUAUUUGUGGAUAAUUACAAGGCCAGGGAUCAAACCUGUGUCCUCAUGGAUACCAGUCGGGUUUGGUGACCACUGAGCCAUGACAGCAUCUCCCAAAAUGAUAUAUUUUUAAUGUGUGACUGUUCUGUCUAAUAGGAAGCAAGGAAAUUGGCUUUAAAGGAGAGGAGUCUAUCCCAUCCCAUUAGAAUCAUGAAACUUUCCAUUUCCACUUGUUCAGAGUGUUUUAUGUUGUUUUGUUUUCUUUGCCUGUUUUUGUCAGAAAGUGUGCAAAGCAGGCGGGGUUGUCCCUAAGACUAAGAGCAUGUGAACCCCAAUACCCUUUGCUUACAGUGGCCGCCGUGUGGAAGGUCACGCAUCCUUAACAGAGUCUGUAGUGAAGCAGCACAUGUGGGAGGAUCAGGGGAGCAUCUCUCCGUCCGAAAGGCUUUAGAGAGGGGGUUGCACAUAACACAUGACCCUGCGUCUUAAACUUGCCCUCUUCCAUUCUGCCUGCGUCUCAGAGAAGAAAGUUUCGGGGGUUUUUCUAUUGAUUCCAAAAGCAUGUGUGAGAGGUUCUGUAUUACUUAUGAUAAAGAAGAUGAAAAUAAAUGCAUUUAUUAUAAGCCAAGUUUAAGUCAGGAAAAGUGAGGGUACUUUAAAAGUUAGCAGACUAUUCCUUUGCCUGGUUCUAUAUUCCAAGUGCACAUGUAGGUUGGAUUAGGGCAGUUGUUGAUAGAUUGAUAGAUUUCAGCUCAUCCCCCUUUCAGCAAAUCUAAUGGUACUUUAUUGCACUUUACUUUGGCUCUGCAAGGGUUCUCCAUAUUCUUAAAAUCCACUGCAGAGCGUUUGCACAGACGGGGGGAGAUCUCUGUCAGUGAUAGGGAAGCUGAUCAACGUCAAAGCUUCUUGGUGCUGUUGGGGAACUUGGCAGAGAGUAGGCUCAUGGCAGCAGGAGAUAUUUCUGUGCACUUUUCAUGAGUCUCAUGGGACACUUGUAAAUGAUUUUGGUGGUUCCUUCUCACCCUUUUGUUCCAUUUUUGUCUGAACUGAAUAUCGAUGCAACUGGGGCGUAGAAGCAAUGCCAAGUAGUUCUGCUGGGAGCCACCUGGGAAGUCCAACACAACACUAGCAUAGAUAUGCUGCUCGCCCUCAAAGUGCUGGAGUUGACUGGUGAUGAGGUAUGAAGCUGAGGCUCCUGAGUCCGUCUUCUAUUAGAUAAAACUCUGCUUUUUUGCCGUCUACUUAAUAGCAUGUUACCUUCCUCAUUUUCACGUCUUCUAAGUUUGUGGAAUCUCUCUAAUUCUUAAAAAUAUAGCUAUUAAAAAUGAAAAGCAGGCUGAAGUUGUAGAUACUAAACUGAAUUACCCUUUUUUCCCCUAUUCUCAUCCUUGAUCCUUGCCCAUUCCCUAAAGCUUAUAAAUAUUUUGUGGAAGAGCUGUGGGGGGUAUAAGAAACAAAAUGUUUUUGUAAAAAUAUUUACCAAGAGAAUAUGGAUACAGAGAAUAAAAUGAAGAAAACAAAACAUCUUAGCCUAAAUUUUCAACUUUGUUAAAAAUUGGAAACUUCUAAUCUUUAUUUUAUAUUGAUAAUGAUAAAAAAGCCUUAAAUUAAAACUCGUCUUUACAGACAUCUAUUGUGCUUUGUCAACAUGACGUGAUGCUUUUCUAUUCAGCCAUUUUCAAGCUUCCAAACAAUUGAAAUAGAAAAGAGGAAAAUAUUUUAUGGCAACAUAUAUAUCAUUCGUAAAACCGAUAAUCAAAAAAAAA
rnacentral:lncRNA from 1 species